rnacentral:rRNA from 1 species
AUUGAACGCUGGCGGCAUGCUUUACACAUGCAAGUCGAACGGCAGCACGGGUGCUUGCACCUGGUGGCGAGUGGCGCACGGGUGAGUAAUAUAUUGGAACGUACCGAGUAAUGGGGGAUAACUGUCCGAAAGGAUAGCUAAUACCGCAUACGCUUUGAGAAGGAAAGCGGGGGAUCUUCGGACCUCGCGUUAUUGGAGCGGCCAAUAUCUGAUUAGCUAGUUGGUGGGGUAAAGGCCCACCAAGGCGACGAUCAGUAGCGGGUCUGAGAGGAGGAACCGCCACACUGGGACUGAGACACGGACCAGACUCCGACGGGAGGCAGCAGUGGGGAAUUUUGGACAAUGGGGGCAACCCUGAUCCAGCCAUGCCGCGUGUAUGAAGAAGGCCUUAGGGUUGUAAAGUACUCUUGUCAGGGAAGAAAAGGAGUUAGCGAAUAACUAGCUCUCAUGACGGUACCUGAAGAAUAAGCACCGGCUAACUACGUGCCAGCCGCC